GGUAUGCUCAGGCUGCAUUCAGUGUAGGUUCUGUCUUCUUUCUUGGAUAUAGGUCUUGUUGCUUAAAUUAUAUCUUGUCUUGGACAAAUAUUUUAACUUUGUUGUGGUUAUCUGAUAUUUUUGUCAUUUAACAUUACUAGUGAGGAUACAUUAAUAAAUAGCUAUUUUUGGUCAACGUUUAAGUUCAGCUUUUUUUUUGGUCCGGUUAUUUGAAACACCGGCGAGGGAAAUACAUCUGGGAUCAAAUAGAUGCAAACUCUAUGACAGAGUCAGCGAGCAUCAGUGGCAGAGGUCUACAGCUGAGUCAAAGGCAGAGGUCUACGGUUAAGGUCUACGGCAGAGGUCUAUGGCAGUGGUCUACGGCAGAGGUCUAUGGUCGCACACCUGAAGUUAAGCAGCUCAUGAGGUGAAGGACUGAUGGCUGCCCCUCUCCUCCUCCUCUACUAGCGUUAAGUAUCAGAAAUCAGAAAUCAG